rnacentral:rRNA from 1 species
AGAACGAACGCUGGCGGCAUGCCUAACACAUGCAAGUCGAACGAGACCUUCGGGUCUAGUGGCGCACGGGUGCGUAACGCGUGGGAAUCUGCCCUUGGGUUCGGAAUAACAGUUGGAAACGACUGCUAAUACCGGAUGAUGACGUAAGUCCAAAGAUUUAUCGCCCAGGGAUGAGCCCGCGUAGGAUUAGCUAGUUGGUGAGGUAAAGGCUCACCAAGGCGACGAUCCUUAGCUGGUCUGAGAGGAUGAUCAGCCACACUGGGACUGAGACACGGCCCAGACUCCUACGGGAGGCAGCAGUGGGGAAUA